UACCAACUUCCUCUAUAGCACUCUUCACCCAGAGAUAUCAACACAUCUCACACAGAAGAGCAGUAUAAGCAUUGCUAUUAUAAUUACUAUUAUCACUAGCCAAAAAGAAAUGUGCAUGUCUGCACAGUGCAGAUGAACACAAUCAAUGUAUGUGCACAGAACAGAAAUGCCUGUAAAUAUUAAUCUGAAAUAUUAUUUCAAUAGCAAAUUUCAUUGCAUAUCAACAUAACUGAAUCUCUUUUUAGAAGGGAUGUGCAUCAGAUACAACAGAUGAGAGAGUGCCAGCCCCUGCCAAAAGGACUCCACACAUAUUGGAGAAGAUGAAUACCAAUAAAUCAGGAUCCGAUGGGAUGCAUUGUAUGGCUUUUUCAGAGUGGAGAAACAGUUGAAUUGUUUUAUCUAUUAAAUGAAUGGAUAAAGGAUUUAGUAAUAAUA